CGAAAAUUGAGAUCAGUUACGCACCCCGGCACACUGAUAGAGUUGGAACUGAUUCUUGCAACACUUGUGAUUGUUGCAAUAUGCAGGUUCGGUGCUCAAAUUGAGCAGGGGCUACUGAACCAAGACAACUGGUAAAUUUUGAAGCAGCAGCUCAGAAAUUUCAGAAGCGAGAGACACAUCAAGAGACAGACUGAAGGGAAACAGAAUUUAAUGCAAAAAUGUGACACAUAUAGGUUCAUAUCUCAAAGUGAAGGAAGCUUUGCUUUCGAAUCAAUGGUCUGAAUCUUCAUAUUUUAAGACGAAGACAGGAAAAAAACAGUGCAGAGAGUACCUCUAUGGGUGGAGGAUGCCCAAUGUCCAUGUUCUCACUCUGCCUGGAGAAAAUCCUUACAAGAAAAGACCAGAGCCCUUCUUUGGGAGCCCUUCUGUGUCAUCCAUG